rnacentral:lncRNA from 1 species
GAAUCGCAGGAUGGGGGGAGUCAGACAAGCAGGGCAAGCCUAAGCAUUGAAGUCGUGAGUUCACAGGCAAGGAACAGAAUGUUUCGCCCAAGGAUGAUUCCGCCCCUGUGGAGCCAACCCACGGCCAUGGCCUUCUGAGCAGGGGCAUUAACUGAGCCAAAUGUGCAGGAAAAGAACUAAUGAGGCGACGUCGUUGACCACCGCCAAGAGGCUGCAUGGGGCCCAGCUCAGAGUCCAGCUCAGAGGGGUGACAAAGAAGAGAGUCCUUGACACUGCCCUUGAGAUGUCCAUAGUCUAAUUGUGACAAUAAUAUAUUUAAGAACUCGAGGCCAUUUAGAAGAUGAAGAGAAGAUAUUAGGGAGGUGGGGUGAGGGUAUAGAAAAACUGAGGUGCCCCAGCCUGCUGUGUGACCUUGAGUCUCCUUAACAUCUUGGCUCCUCAGCUUCCCUGUCUAAGAAAUGAGGUCAAUGCCAUCUGUCCUUUUUCAUUUAGGCCUUGCGUGGUGAAUGAAGUGACAGGUGGAGGGUCCUGCAGAGGAGAGAGAACUGGAACGUGGGCCUGCCGUGGGAGGUUUCUCUCUGCCCACUUCCUGUCCCUUCUUAAGGAAUGCUCAGAGCAGGGGACUUUAUCCCUCCUCAUCCCAAGCUGAAAAGUUAAGCAAGAUGUGACCUUGCUAUGUGAGAUUUGAUAAUCAAAAAUCCAAUGGUUAGUCUAGCCUAUCUCUGUAAAGAAACACAAGAAACUGGUAACACUGCUUUUCCCUGGGGAGGAGAGCCGGGCAAUUGAGUGAAAGGCG